CCUUAGAUGUUCUGGGCCGCACGCGCGCUACACUGACAGAGCCAACGAGUAUAAACCUUGGCCGAGAGGUCUGGGUAAUCUUGUUAAACUCUGUCGUGCUGGGGAUAGAGCAUUGCAAUUAUUGCUCUUCAACGAGGAAUAUCUAGUAAGCGCGAGUCAUCAGCUCGCGUUGAUUACGUCCCUGCCCUUUGUACACACCGCCCGUCGCUACUACCGAUUGAAUGGCUCAGUGAGGCUUUCGGAUUGGCUCAAGAAGGUCGGCAACGACCAUCUAGAGCCGAAAAGUUAGUCAAACUUGGUCAUUUAGAGGAAGUAAAAGUCGUAACAAGGUUUCCGUAGGUGAACCUGCGGAAGGAUCAUUAUGAUAAAAAACUCUGUUGCCUCGUGCAAUGGUUAAACCCUUUGUGAACCAAAACCUUUAUUAGCUUCGGUAGCUUGCUGCAGGGCUUAGUUGCUCUGUUGUCUGUUAGCCUGCCGGCAGCACCAAACCAAACUUGUUAUUUUAAAUCUAGUCUGAACAUAAAUUUUCGAAUGAAAAUCAAAACUUUCAACAACGGAUCUCUUGGUUCUCGCAUCGAUGAAGAACGCAGCGAAACGCGAUAGUUAAUGUGAAUUGCAGAAUUCAGUGAAUCAUCGAGUCUUUGAACGCACAUUGCGCCCUUUGGUAUUCCGAAGGGCAUGUCUGUUUGAGCGUCAUUACAACACCUCGUUAGCAAUUAGUUUUGCGAACGGUUUUGAGCUUUGGUUUGGUAAAACAGCCUGGCUUUAAAGUUGAACGCUCUGCGGGUCACACUGCCAAACUAUACAUAGUAAAACUUAUUCUGUACGGUGAGAAAGUGCUGGCUUCGCCUGGAAAACAAACCCACAUUAUAAGGUUUGACCUCAGAUCAGACAAGGAUACCCGCUGAACUUAAGCAUAUCAAUAAGCGGAGGAAAAGAAACCAACAGGGAUUGCCUCAGUAACGGCGAGUGAAGCGGCAACAGCUCAAAUUUGAAAUCUCAGGUAUUCUACUUGCGAGUUGUAAUUUGAAGAGGAUGUUUCGGUUGUGACCUAGGCCUAAGUUCCUUGGAACAGGACGUCGUAGAGGGUGAGAAUCCCGUACACGGCUGUAGGUUUACUUCCAUGUGUAACUCCUUCGAAGAGUCGAGUUGUUUGGGAAUGCAGCUCAAAAUGGGUGGUAAAUUUCAUCUAAAGCUAAAUACUGGCGAGAGACCGAUAGCGCACAAGUAGAGUGAUCGAAAGAUGAAAAGCACUUUGAAAAGAGAGUUAAACAGUACGUGAAAUUGUUGAAAGGGAAGCGUUUGCAAUCAGACUUGCUUUCGGUUGAUCAACGUUCCUUUUGGUUCGUGCACUCUGCCGUUCGCAGGCCAGCAUCGGUUAGGACGGUGGGACAAAGACUCAAGGAAUGUGGCAUUCUUCGGGAUGUGUUAUAGCCUUGUGUGUAAUGCCACCAGACCUGACCGAGGUCCGCGCUUUUGCUAGGAUGCUGGCGUAAUGGUUGUAAACGAC
rnacentral:rRNA from 1 species